UGACCGGUCUCGAGACCAAGUCCAACUUCGAGUACCACAACACUGAUCUCUCACUCAGUUAACUCAUAUGUUAACUGAUGUUCAGUCUUGCACUGUAAAUAUGAUGAAUAACCUGAAAAUGUCCAAUAACAAGAUGUAGUGCUGUUGUUUCUACACUGGGGGGAUUCUGCUGGCCAUCCUGCUGGUCACACCAUUUCUGGGAAAUGAGUCCGUUUCCCCUCAGCUCUGCCUCUCAGUAAUGAAUAAACAUUUAGGGGAGUGUCUCCCUCACCCAGAAUAAGAGGCUGAAGAGGAAACUUCUGUCUCAACACAACACAGGCACACUUCUGCAAAAACAAGUCUGAGAAGACGAUUGACGUGGCGACUCUUGGCAGGCCAUUUAUCUUGGGAUGCUCUACGACUGCCGCCAAGAUAAAGUCAUUCCUGGACCUGGAUGGUUUUGGUUUCAUUUUUGAGGGGAACUGGGUGGGCCUACGGAUGUGCAUAAAAGCAGAGAAAAUUCAGCAAGUUCUUCCCGCCCUCCCUCACUUUCUGCUGCACUUCAACCUGAGUGUGAGUGAAUACAAACUGCAGAGUUUAACCACUGGACUGAGCAGAGAGAAGCCAACAAAGACGGUCACAAUUUGGGUUAAAACGUUUGACGGCAUCCAUCCUACAUCUAACAGGUUGGAGUGAACAAUGGACAGUGAACCUGGCAAAGUCAUGGAGGUGCCGGCCCUUGGUCGACCUUUUAGCCCUGGGAUGUUGUACGACUGCCGCACUGACUCACUUGUUCCUGGUAAGAAUGAGACAUCCUCAAAGAUCUGAUUAAAACCAGUAGCACACAGAGGCAAAUUGUGUGUUUGAAUGUUGUGAAGCAACAAAUUUGUACUGUGU